GGAGGCGUUCUAGAGGCAAUCCAGAUUCAAGAGAAUUUUUGUGUUUAGUGGGAGCAGUCUGGUUAUCAAAGAACAUUUAAUAUUUUUGUACAUAGGGAGAGGGAAUUUCAGUAGCAAGAUGAUCGAUUUAGCUAUGAAGACCACCUCAAACUCUUCGUCGACAACUCUAGAUCGAUCAAGACCAAGCUUACAUCUUGAUGCUUCAUGAGCAAGCAGCUUCUGUAGUUACUUAAAGAAUGCUAGCUACAUAUACUUUGACUCCAACUACUUGAAGUUUGACAAGUUCGAUGAUCUUUGCCCGCUUGCACUUGUUAAAGAGGUACAACAUCAAUGUCUUCUAUUUUGGUUACCUAUGUAACAUGACCCAUUUACAUUGAUAUUAUAAGAAAAUGUUUGUUUGUUGCGGUGCUGUUUGUUAUUGUAAGGCAUUGUGACUUAAUCCUUGACA